rnacentral:rRNA from 1 species
CCUACGGGAGGCAGCAGUGGGGAAUUUUGGUACAAUGGGCGCAAGCCUGAUCCAGCAAUGCCGCGUGAGUGAAGAAGGCCUUCGGGUUGUAAAGCUCUUUUGUCAGGGAAGAAAAGGGUCUGGCUAAUAUCUAGGCCUCAUGACGGUACCUGAAGAAUAAGCACCGGCUAACUACGUGCCAGCAGCCGCGGUAAUACGUAGGGUGCAAGCGUUUAAUCGGAAUUACUGGGCGUAAAGCGUGCGCAGGCGGUUUUUGUAAGACUGUCGUGAAAAUCCCCCGGGGCUCAACCUGGGAAUGGCG